rnacentral:rRNA from 1 species
GGGAUAACCUUGCGAAAGUAAGACUAAUACCCAAUGAUAUCUCUAGAAGACAUCUGAAAGAGAUUAAAGAUUUAUCGGUGAUGGAUGGGGAUGCGUCUGAUUAGCUUGUUGGCGGGGUAACGGCCCACCAAGGCGACGAUCAGUAGGGGUUCUGAGAGGAAGGUCCCCCACAUUGGAACUGAGACACGGUCCAAACUCCUACGGGAGGCAGCAGUGAGGAAUAUUGGUCAAUGGGCGAGAGCCUGAACCAGCCAAGUAGCGUGCAGGAUGACGGCCCUAUGGGUUGUAAACUGCUUUUAUAAGGGAAUAAAGUGAGUCUCGUGAGACUUUUUGCAUGUACCUUAUGAAUAAGGACCGGCUAAUUCCGUGCCAGCAGCCGCGGUAAUACGGAAGGUCCGGGCGUUAUCCGGAUUUAUUGGGUUUAAAGGGAGCGUAGGCCGGAGAUUAAGCGUGUUGUGAAAUGUAGACGCUCAACGUCUGCACUGCAGCGCGAACUGGUUUCCUUGAGUACGCACAAAGUGGGCGGAAUUCGUGGUGUAGCGGUGAAAUGCUUAGAUAUCACGAAGAACUCCGAUUGCGAAGGCAGCUCACUGGAGCGCAACUGACGCUGAAGCUCGAAAGUGCGGGUGUCGAACAGGAUUAGAUACCCUGGUAGUCCGCACGGUAA